rnacentral:sRNA from 1 species
CUUUGUCAUGGCGGCUGCUGCUGCGCGCUGGAACCAUGUGUGGGUCGGCACCGAGACUGGGAUCUUGAAAGGUGGGUGGCAGGCUUGGGCGUCGGGAAGUGCAGGAGUGCACUCGCGCCCCUGGCGUGACUGACGCCCUCGUCUCUCAGGGGUAAAUCUUCAGCGAAAACAGGCGGCGAACUUCACGGCCGGAGGACAGCCGCGGCGGGAGGAGGCAGUGAGCGCCCUGUGUUGGGGCACGGGCGGCGAAACCCAGAUCCUGGUGGGCUGCGCGGACAGGACGGUGAAGCACUUCAGCACCGAGGAUGGCAUAUUCCAGGGUCAGAGACACUGCCCGGGAGGGGAGGGCACGUUCCGUGGCCUCGCCCAGGCCGACGGCACCCUCAUCACAUGUGUGGAUUCUGGGAUUCUCAGAGUCUGGCAUGACAAGGACAAGGACACAUCCUCUGACCCACUCCUGGAACUGAGAGUGGGCCCUGGGGUGUGUAGGAUGCGCCAAGACCCAGCACACCCCCAUGUGGUUGCCACAGGUGGGAAGGAGAAUGCUUUGAAGAUAUGGGACCUGCAGGGCUCUGAGGAACCUGUGUUCAGGGCCAAGAACGUGCGGAAUGACUGGCUGGACCUGCGGGUUCCCAUCUGGGACCAGGACAUACAGUUUCUCCCAGGAUCACAGAAGCUUGUCACCUGCACAGGGUACCACCAGGGUGGAUUUUCCUGAACUAUGCCUGUUUUCCUCCCACCUGGAAGAGAGGAAAGGAGAGUGGAUCCCCUUCACUGUGGGAAUUAUAGGGUGCAGGUGUCAGAGGACAUUGGGCUAGGUGUUAAGAGAACUGGGUUCUGGUCCUGAUGCAGCCUCUCUGAUUUGCUUUGGGACCCAGGCCUGAGCCUCCCAUCUCUGGCCUCAGCUCCUCAGCUUUACAUGAAGGGCCCGAAUGGGGAAUCUUUAUGGCUUGUCUCAUUUGAGGUCUUGAGACACGGGCGGGGCUGAGUCACUGUAUUUGUCCUGUUUCCUUUGCUUCUGCACAUUGAAGUCUGAUCUUGGUCAUAUGCCUCUGCUCAAAA